GAUGAAGAACGCAGUAAAAUGCGAUACUUGGUGUGAAUUGCAGAAUCCCGUGAACCAUCGAGUCUUUGAACGCAAGUUGCGCCCGAAGCCAUCAGGUUGAGGGCACGUCUGCCUGGGCGUCACAUAUCGUUGCCCAAUGCCUAUUGCAGUGCAAUAGGAAUUUCUAGGGCGAAUGAUGGCUUCCCGUGAGCGUUGUUGCCUCGCGGUUGGUUGAAAAUCGAGUCCUUGGUAGGGUGUGCCAUGGUAGAUGGUGGUCGAGUUAGAACGAUACCGAUCAUGUGCAUGCUCCCCAAAAUAUGGCCUCUAUGACCCACACGCGUCUUUUGACGCUCAUGACGAGACCUCAGGUCAGGCGGGGCUACCCGCUGAAUUUAAGCAUAUCAAUAAGCGGAGGA
rnacentral:misc_RNA from 1 species